AACGAACGCUGGCGGCAUGCCUAACACAUGCAAGUCGAACGAGGCCCUUCGGGGUUUAGUGGCGCACGGGUGCGUAACGCGUGGGAAUCUGCCCUUUGGUUCGGAAUAACAGCUGGAAACGGCUGCUAAUACCGGAUGAUGACGAAAGUCCAAAGAUUUAUCGCCAGAGGAUGAGCCCGCGUUGGAUUAGGUAGUUGGUGGGGUAAAGGCCUACCAAGCCGACGAUCCAUAGCUGGUCUGAGAGGAUGAUCAGCCACACUGGGACUGAGACACGGCCCAGACUCCUACGGGAGGCAGCAGUGGGGAAUAUUGGACAAUGGGCGCAAGCCUGAUCCAGCAAUGCCGCGUGAGUGAUGAAGGCCCUAGGGUUGUAAAGCUCUUUUACCCGGGAAGAUAAUGACUGUACCGGGAGAAUAAGCCCCGGCUAACUCCGU
rnacentral:rRNA from 1 species